rnacentral:siRNA from 1 species
UGCUCGUUCAUGUUCUCCUGA